rnacentral:tRNA from 1 species
CCUAAUGUAGCUCAACGGUAGAGCGUUCGAUUGUUAAUCGAAGGGUUGGUGGUUCGAGUCCACCCGUUAGGGCCA